rnacentral:rRNA from 1 species
ACGCUCGACACCUACGGAGGCAGCAGUAGGGAAUCUUCCACAAUGGACGCAAGUCUGAUGGAGCAACGCCGCGUGAGUGAAGAAGGUUUUCGGAUCGUAAAGCUCUGUUGUUGGUGAAGAAGGAUAGAGGUAGUAACUGGCCUUUAUUUGACGGUAAUCAACCAGGAAGUCACGGCUAACUACGUGUCAGCAGCCGCGGUAAUCUGAGCGGGCUGGCAAGGC